rnacentral:rRNA from 1 species
ACCCGAAACCCGGUGAUCUAGCCAUGGGCAGGUUGAAGGUUGGGUAACACUAACUGGAGGACCGAACCGACUAAUGUUGAAAAAUUAGCGGAUGACUUGUGGCUGGGGGUGAAAGGCCAAUCAAACCGGGAGAUAGCUGGUUCUCCCCGAAAGCUAUUUAGGUAGCGCCUCGUGAAUUCAUCUCCGGGGGUAGAGCACUGUUUCGGCAAGGGGGUCAUCCCGACUUACCAACCCGAUGCAAACUGCGAAUACCGGAGAAUGUUAUCACGGGAGACACACGGCGGGUGCUAACGUCCGUCGUGAAGAGGGAAACAACCCAGACCGCCAGCUAAGGUCCCAAAGUCAUGGUUAAGUGGGAAACGAUGUGGGAAGGCCCAGACAGCCAGGAUGUUGGCUUAGAAGCAGCCAUCAUUUAAAGAAAGCGUAAUAGCUCACUGGUCGAGUCGGCCUGCGCGGAAGAUGUAACGGGGCUAAACCAUGCACCGAAGCUGCGGCAGCGACGCUUAUGCGUUGUUGGGUAGGGGAGCGUUCUGUAAGCCUGCGAAGGUGUGCUGUGAGGCAUGCUGGAGGUAUCAGAAGUGCGAAUGCUGACAUAAGUAACGAUAAAGCGGGUGAAAAGCCCGCUCGCCGGAAGACCAAGGGUUCCUGUCCAACGUUAAUCGGGGCAGGGUGAGUCGACCCCUAAGGCGAGGCCGAAAGGCGUAGUCGAUGGGAAACAGGUUAAUAUUCCUGUACUUGGUGUUACUGCGAAGGGGGGACGGAGAAGGCUAUGUUGGCCGGGCGACGGUUGUCCCGGUUUAAGCGUGUAGGCUGGUUUUCCAGGCAAAUCCGGAAAAUCAAGGCUGAGGCGUGAUGACGAGGCACUACGGUGCUGAAGCAACAAAUGCCCUGCUUCCAGGAAAAGCCUCUAAGCAUCAGGUAACAUCAAAUCGUACCCCAAACCGACACAGGUGGUCAGGUAGAGAAUACCAAGGCGCUUGAGAGAACUCGGGUGAAGGAACUAGGCAAAAUGGUGCCGUAACU